rnacentral:rRNA from 1 species
UACGUAGGGGGCAAGCGUUGUCCGGAAUCAUUGGGCGUAAAGCGCGUGUAGGCGGUUCGGUAAGUCUGCUGUGAAAGUCCAGGGCUCAACCCUGGGAUGCCGGUGGAUACUGUCGGACUAGAGUACGGAAGAGGCGAGUGGAAUUCCCGGUGUAGCGGUGAAAUGCGUAGAUAUCGAGAGGAACACCAGUGGCGAAGGCGAGUCUCUGGACGACUCCUGACACUGAGGCACGAAAGCUAGGGGAGCAAACAGG